AUAAAUAACUGAAGAGUUGUAACAGAGGUCUAUCCAAGAAAUAUAAAUAUUACAAUCACUUCUUCUAUCUAAUUAUCUUCUCUCUAAGUUCUAUUUCUCUCUAUCUUCCUUCAUAUCCUAUUUCCCUUCCCCUUUCUUUCUCUAUCUCUCCCUAAUUUAUGUUCUUCUCUGGAAUUAAGAACACUGCUUUGUAACAGAUGGUAUCAGAGCUUGAUUUAUUAAUGUUCUUCUCUGGAAUUAAGAACACUG
rnacentral:misc_RNA from 1 species